rnacentral:lncRNA from 1 species
UUAAAUUGUAAUCAUCUCUUAUGUUGAAAUUAUUUUUAGUCUUAAUUAGUUGCUGUGGACUUUUUUCUUGUGUUUUUGUUCUUGGGUCUUGGGGUAAGCUUGUUGUGAGCGUUUUUUGACCUUGCCUGUCAGCUACUUUCUUGUGUUUUUCCUUGUGUAUUGGUCUUGAGUCUUUGGGUAAAGCUUGUUGUAAGCGAUUUUUUAUGUUGCCAGAUUUGUAGGGAUUGUGUGCCAAUUGGUGAAGAACUUGAAAUUUCAGUUGAUUUUACUGCACCUGAAUUUCCUGGUCGAUACAUCUCAUACUGGAGGAUGGCUGCACCAUCUGGCCAAACAUUUGGGCAACGAGUUUGGGUUCUCAUUCAGGUUCAUAUUCAUUACUGUUGUCCUAUUCAUUUUUUUAAACAUGUUUUCUCAUGAUGAUUUAUCUUUCAGUAAAUCAUGCACAUAUCAAUUCCUCCUCCAUUACUGUUGUUUUAUUUUCUUUUUAAACUUAUUAUAAUAAUUCAAUGGCCUGUACUUAUUC